rnacentral:tRNA from 1 species
AGCCCCGCAAAACACCAAAGUGCAAAUUUGGAGACGCACCCCAAUAGGUGCCGGGGCUUC